ACGUUAAAACACCUGUUCUCGUACUAUCACCGAGGUUAAGCGACGUUGGGCCUGGUCAGUAACUAGAUGGGUAACUGCGUGGAAGUGCGGGUGGU